rnacentral:rRNA from 1 species
AUUGAACGCUGGCGGCAUGCCUUACACAUGCAAGUCGAACGGCAGCACGGGAGCAAUCCUGGUGGCGAGUGGCGAACGGGUGAGUAAAGCAUCGGAACGUGCCCAGUCGUGGGGAUAACGUAGCGAAAGUUACGCUAAUACCGCAUACGAUCUAUGGAUGAAAGCGGGGGACCGCAAGACCUCGCGCGAUUGGAGCGGCCGAUAUCAGAUUAGGUAGUUGGUGGGGUAAAGGCUCACCAAGCCGACGAUCUGUAGCUGGUCUGAGAGGACGACCAGCCACACUGGGACUGAGACACGGCCCAGACUCCUACGGGAGGCAGCAGUGGGGAAUUUUGGACAAUGGGCGCAAGCCUGAUCCAGCCAUGCCGCGUGCAGGAUGAAGGCCUUCGGGUUGUAAACUGCUUUUGUACGGAACGAAAAGGUUUGACUUAAUACGUUGGACUCAUGACGGUACCGUAAGAAUAAGCACCGGCUAACUCCGUGCCAGCCGCCGCCGUAA